rnacentral:tRNA from 1 species
GCCAGGCUGGCUCAGUUGGUAGAGCAUGGGACUCUCGAUCUCAGCUCAUGAGUUCAAGCCCCAUGUUGGGUG